rnacentral:rRNA from 1 species
ACGGGAGGCAGCAGUGGGGAAUAUUGCACAAUGGGCGAAAGCCUGAUGCAGCGACGCCGCGUGAGCGAUGAAGUAUUUCGGUAUGUAAAGCUCUAUCAGCAGGGAAGAUAAUGACGGUACCUGACUAAGAAGCACCGGCUAAAUACGUGCCAGCAGCCGCGGUAAUACGUAUGGUGCAAGCGUUAUCCGGAUUUACUGGGUGUAAAGGGAGCGUAGGCGGCAUGGCAAGUCUGAUGUGAAAACCCAGAGCUCAACUCUGGGAUUGCAUUGGAAACUGUCAAGCUAGAGUGUCGGAGGGGUAAGUGGAAUUCCCAGUGUAGCGGUGAAAUGCGUAGAUAUUGGGAGGAACACCAGUGGCGAAGGCGGCUUACUGGACGAUUACUGACGCUGAGGCUCGAAAGCGUGGGGAGCAAACAGGAUUAGAUACCCUGGUA